rnacentral:tRNA from 1 species
GGCCUUAUGGUCUAGUCGUAUGAUUCUCCCUUUGGGUCCAACAUUGGGAGAGGUCUCGGGUUCAAUUCCCGAUGAGGCCC